UCCGUAAUGGUGUAAUGGUUAGCAUUUCUGCCUCUCAUACGAAGUUCUCAAACUUCAAACAAGGUCGCAGGAGAUCAGGGUUCAAUUCCCUGUUACGGAA
rnacentral:tRNA from 1 species